rnacentral:rRNA from 1 species
UGAACCUGCGAAGGAUCAUAUUGAAUAACAUGGUUGGGUUGUAGCUGACUCCUAGGAUAUGUGCACACCUGCCGUUUUAUCUAUCCACCUGUGCACAUUGUAGUCUUGGGGGAUUGAUUAGUGACAAUUUUUUGUUGCCAUGUCGUCCUCUGGGGUCUAUGUUAUCAUAAACCACUUAGUAUGUCGUAGAAUGAAGUAUUUGGGCCUCAGUGCCUAUAAACAAAAUACAACUUUCAGCAACGGAUCUCUUGGCUCUCGCAUCAUGAAGAACGCAGCGAAAUCGAUAAGUAAUGUGAAUUGCAGAAUUCAGUGAAUCAUCGAAUCUUUGAACGCACCUUGCGCUCCUUGGUAUUCCGAGGAGCAUGCCUGUUUGAGUGUCAUUAAAUUCUCAACCCCUCCAGCUUUUGUUGCUGGUUGUGGCUUGGAUAUGGGAGUGUUUGCUGGUCUCAUUCGAGAUCAGCUCUCCUGAAAUGUAUUAGUGGAACCGUUUGCGAUCCGUCACCGGUGUGAUAAUUAUCUACGCCAUAGACUGUGAACGCUCUCUGUAGUGUUCUGCUUCUAACUGUCCUAUUAAAGGACAACAAUAUUGAACUUUUGACCUCAAAUCAGGUAGGACUACCCGCUGA